UACAGAGGUCUCAACCGUUGUUCGGAUUCAUUGGGCGUAAAGGGUGCGUAGGCGGUCGUGCAAGUCGGAUGUGAAAUCUCAGGGCUCAACCCUGAAACUGCAUUCGAUACUGCGUGGCUAGAGUGCUGGAGAGGAGACUGGAAUUUACGGUGUAGCAGUGAAAUGCGUAGAUAUCGUAAGGAAGACCAGUGGCGAAGGCGAGUCUCUGGACAGCAACUGACGCUGAGGCACGAAAGCGUGGGGAGCAAACAGG
rnacentral:rRNA from 1 species